rnacentral:rRNA from 1 species
GCUUAGAGAGGGGUCAAUGUCCUAUCAGCUAGUUGGUAAGGUAAUGGCUUACCAAGGCUAAGACGGGUAGCCGGCCUGAGAGGGUGGUCGGCCACACUGGGACUGAGACACUGCCCAGACUCCUACGGGAGGCUGCAGUCGAGAAUCUUUCGCAAUGCCCGAAAGGGUGACGAAGCGACGCCGCGUGUGGGAAGAAGGCCUUCGGGUUGUAAACCACUGUCGGAAGUUAAGAAAUGUAAGGGUGUUAAUAGCAUCCUUACUUGACUAAGGCUCCGGAGGAAGCCACGGCUAACUCUGUGCCAGCAGCCGCGGUAAUACAGAGGCGGCAAGCGUUGUUCGGAAUUAUUGGGCGUAAAGAGCACGUAGGCGGCUUUGUAAGUCAGUUGUGAAAGCCUUCCGCUUAACGGAAGAACAGCAUCUGAUACUGCAAGGCUAGAGUGCGGAAGGG